CAAGUCGAACGAUGAAGCUGGAGCUUGCUCCAGUGGAUUAGUGGCGAACGGGUGAGUAACACGUGAGCAAUCUGCCCUUGACUCUGGGAUAACUGCGGGAAACUGUAGCUAAUACCGGAUACGACACCUUGGGGCAUCCCGGGGUGUGGAAAGAAUUUCGGUCAAGGAUGAGCUCGCGGCCUAUCAGCUAGUUGGUGAGGUAAUGGCUCACCAAGGCGACGACGGGUAGCCGGCCUGAGAGGGUGACCGGCCACACUGGAACUGAGAUACGGUCCAGACUCCUACGGGAGGCAGCAGUGGGGAAUAUUGCACAAUGGGCGCAAGCCUGAUGCAGCAACGCCGCGUGAGGGAUGAAGGCCUUCGGGUUGUAAACCUCUUUUAGCAGGGAAGAAGCGAAAGUGACGGUACCUGCAGAAAAAGCACCGGCUAACUACGUGCCAGCAGCCGCGGUAAUACGUAGGGUGCAAGCGUUGUCCGGAAUUAUUGGGCGUAAAGAGCUCGUAGGCGGUUUGUCGCGUCUGCUGUGAAAAUCCAAGGCUCAACCUUGGACCUGCAGUGGGUACGGGCAGACUAGAGUGCGGUAGGGGAGAUGGGAAUUCCUGGUGUAGCGGUGGAAUGCGCAGAUAUCAGGAGGAACACCAAUGGCGAAGGCACAUCUCUGGGCCGUAACUGACGCUGAGGAGCGAAAGCGUGGGGAGCGAACAGGAUUAGAUACCCUGGUAGUCCACGCCGUAAACGGUGGGUGCUAGUUGUGGGCCACAUUCCACGUGGUCCGUGACGAAGUUAACACAUUAAGCACCCCGCCUGGGGAGUACGGUCGCAAGACUAAAACUCAAAGGAAUUGACGGG
rnacentral:rRNA from 1 species